AUGCUCCUAGUUGUGUUAAGUGUUGGCAGAUAUCCGGCUUCCCUCCCUGGAAGUCUGGAACUUGAACCCCGAACUUCCCCUCCCCCAUAUGAAGUCCGGGGUUUUUUUUGCCUGCGA
rnacentral:sRNA from 1 species